AAGCCGUGGUGUGGGCAUUGGUUAGUGUAGCUUCUAAACUGUUCCCAAGCUUCACUAAAGCUCUCGUUAUUGUGCUGCGUGAAACUUGAGAUCUGAUUCCUGAGCUU
rnacentral:snoRNA from 1 species